GACGAACGCUGGCGGCGUGCUUAACACAUGCAAGUCGAACGGAAAGGCCCUGCUUUUGUGGGGUGCUCGAGUGGCGAACGGGUGAGUAACACGUGAGUAACCUGCCCUUGACUUUGGGAUAACUUCAGGAAACUGGGGCUAAUACCGGAUAGGAGCUCCUGCUGCAUGGUGGGGGUUGGAAAGUUUCGGCGGUUGGGGAUGAACUCGCGGCUUAUCAGCUUGUUGGUGGGGUAGUGGCUUACCAAGGCUUUGGCGGGUAGCCGGCCUGAGAGGGUGACCGGCCACAUUGGGACUGAGAUACGGCCCAGACUCCUACGGGAGGCAGCAGUGGGGAAUAUUGCACAAUGGGCGGAAGCCUGAUGCAGCAACGCCGCGUGCGGGAUGACGGCCUUCGGGUUGUAAACCGCUUUCGCCUGUGACGAAGCGUGAGUGACGGUAAUGGGUAAAGAAGCACCGGCUAACUACGUG
rnacentral:rRNA from 1 species